UCUCUCUGAAUCUGCGAACGGCUCCGCAAACCAGUUGUAAACUAUAGCAAGCAAUCCUCGGCUGGGCUUCGGCUCGGUCGGGGUAACAUGGAUAACCCUGGUAAUUCUGAGGCUAAUACAAGAACGUACUCCCUGGCUGACCGGCAACGGAAGGCUGGGGGACGUGCAAUAGUUUUCGUAAGAUGAACCGGGAAAGGGUGCACGUUCGGACCGCGCUAAAAACGAAUCUAGGUGAGCCCGUAUGGGUGAGCCGUGGCUCGAGCGGCUCUUGCGGUGUGCUUCUGACCUAUCAACUAGAUGGCAGCGUAAGGGACAUGCUAUGGUUACAACGGGUACAGAGGAUUAGGGUUCGAUCCUGGAGAGUGGGCCUGAGAGAUU
rnacentral:rRNA from 1 species